GUCAUCUUAUAGAACCCACCCUAUUUUUUAAGUAAAGGACAAUUAUUGUUUCGUUAUAUCUGAUACUGAAGCGAGGUCAUUCAGUAUGACAGCAUUUCCACACCCAAUUGCAAGCAAAAACAAACCUGUAGUGGCUAGUGGGUCUUGCAAAAGCCAAAGUUUCUCCAUUAUAUAACCACUGAGUUAUUCAACAUAAAAAAAACACGUUAAUAUUUAAAUUAUCAGCUGCAGCAAAGGUGUCGAUACUAGACAUUAAUCACUGGCUCAAUAUCAGCCCCUUUAGCUUGGUUCACCUCACAAAAUCAACAGAAAACAUCAAUAUUGGAAUCUUAAGAAGGCAGACCAGUGCCACACCACGCCUCUCUUCCUCUCCUCUUUUCUGUCGCAUCUUUUCUCAUCUUGCACCUUUUCUUUUUCUCCCCCUCCCACACCCACCUUCUUUACUCAGAGAUAAUCAAAUAACCCCUCAAACAGGAUAAAAGCCAUCAGCCAUCCGCACUCUCCUCCCCUCUCUUCAACACACACACACAUGCACACACACACACACACUCACAAGAGAGGGCUGCAUGUCUGUGUUCACCAGAGAGAGGAGAGGGAGUGUAAUCGCCACUGAGCGGUGAGGGAAAUCAAGGGAGGAGAAACAGAAAGAGGGCUGGAUGAUUGAGAGCAAUAAAAGAAGAAAUGGGAGGGGUUUGGGGGAGCUGUUUUAUGUGAAUGGCAUGUUGAGUGAAUAAGUUAUGGCUGAUAAUGCGUCAUCGGGGUCCUGCUUCUUGAAUUUCUUAAGCCUGUCUGCUCCCUCUAGCUUCCACACACAGACGUCCCUCCGCUUUCCCUCUCCGCGGUCUCUCUGUCCUGCUUCACAGUUUAAAAUCCUCACACACCUUCUCUACCUUCUGUUUUCAUCUCUUUCCAUCUCUCCUUCUUUCCAGCGGCAGCCUCACGCUGCACUGAGCCUAUUCUUGGAGAUACCGCAACCCCUCGCCGCCGCACUGGUGAGUGUGUGCGAAAGGAAAAGUGUGUGCAUGCCUCCCUGAUCUAUUAAUACCACCUCUAGUUAUCGCCUUCUCUCUCCACAUCUGUGUGACGGCAGAUGUCUACGAGAGGGUGUGACUAGACCCAGUGUAAAUGUGCAUAGAUGCAUUACAGGCUCUUCUAUUAAUACUAUCUCCAGUAAUCUCUCUCGUCUCACUUUCAGCACAACAUCUGCAGCAAGACACAGUGACAAAACAAGGACAGAGCUGAUCUUCACAUACACACACACAAACAAACACAUCUCCAGACCAAUUAAUAAACGUCUGAUGGACCGGAUUCUUCCUCUGCAGUUACCGUUUAAUUAUCA
rnacentral:lncRNA from 1 species